rnacentral:rRNA from 1 species
GACGAACCGUGCAAACGUUGUUCGGAAUCACUGGGCUUAAAGGGCGCGUAGGCGGGCCAGCCAGUCUGUGGUGAAAGCCUCCAGCUUAACUGGAGAAGUGCCGUGGAUACUGCUGGCCUCGAGGAGGGUAGGGGCAUCUGGAACGGUCGGUGGAGCGGUGAAAUGCGUUGAUAUCGACCGGAACUCCGGUGGCGAAGGCGAGGUGCUGGGCCCUUUCUGACGCUGAGACGCGAAAGCGUGGGGAGCGAACAGG